rnacentral:rRNA from 1 species
AACGCAUCACGUAAGUGGUGAGUGGCGAACGGGUGAGUAACACGUAGGUAACCUGCCCUUAAGACGAGGAUAACCAUUGGAAACGAUGGCUAAAACUGGAUAGGAACAUUGAAGGCAUCUUUGAUGUUUUAAAAGACCUAGCAAUAGGUAUGCUUAAGGAGGGACCUGCGGCGCAUUAGUUAGUUGGUGAGGUAAUGGCUCACCAAGACAGUGAUGCGUAGCCGGACUGAGAGGUUGAACGGCCACAUUGGGACUGAGAAACGGCCCAAACUCCUACGGGAGGCAGCAGUAGGGAAUUUUCGGCAAUGGGGGAAACCCUGACCGAGCAACGCCGCGUGAAUGACGAAGUACUUCGGUAUGUAAAGUUCUUUUAUUGGGGAAGAAUGGUACGUGGAAAAACGUACGUGACGGUACCUAAUGAAUAAGCCCCGGCUAACUAUGUGCCAGCAGCCGCGGUAAUACAUAGGGGGCAAGCGUUAUCCGGAAUUAUUGGGCGUAAAGGGUGCGUAGGUGGUUAGUUAAGUCUUUGGUGUAAGUGCAGUGCUUAACGCUGUGAUGCUAAAGAAACUGGCUGACUUGAGUGUAGUANAGGCAAGUGGAAUUCCAUGUGUAGCGGUAAAAUGCGUAAAUAUAUGGAGGAACACCANUGGCNAANGCGGCUUGCUGGGCUAUAAC